rnacentral:lncRNA from 1 species
CCGACUACCUUGCGGCUUUUACACUCUGGGUGGUUGACUACUUCUUCCAAAUACAUAAAUUUGAACAAAUAAUGGCACCUGGAAGUGUGAAGAUGGUUGGCCCAUUCCCCGCACUCGGCUGCUUUUAUACUUGGCGGGAUUGGCCACUUCUCCGAACACAUAAAUGUGAACAAAUAAUGGCCAUUGCAAGUAUAAGGAUGACUGACCAAUUUCCGGCCUGGCGGUUUUUACACUUGGAGAGGUUGACCACUUCUACUAACCACAUAAAUUUGAAGACAUGGAGUACCUGCAAGUAUGGGGUAGCUAGCCCUGACAUCGGUGGCUCUCACACUUGGAGAGGUUGGCUACUUCCUGCAAAGCGCAUGCGAUCACAUAUAUUUAAUCUGAAUUGAAUCUGAUAAAAGUAAGAAAUGGCAUAACAACAGUCAAAUCAAACAAGAGAUUCAAUUACUUCUGAAAUUCUAAGGUAGCUGAGUUAACAAGCAGGAUAAUUAAAUUUCUGUAAGAAAAUUUGUAUCAUGAAUCAAUGAUAGAUUCAUAGCAUUUAAGCAAUCAAAGAUUUUCAAAUAAACAGUCAAAGUAAAUACACUUAAGAACCAGCAUUCACUUUUUUAUCAAAUAAUUUUCUUCUUAAUUUUUUUCAUCAUAUUCUUGACUUAGGGAAUGUAACUCAACUUACCUCGAAAAAGUGUCUGAAUCUUCUCCCGAAAAACUCAUGUAGUCAACUCUUGAAAAUC